CUACGGGACGCAGCAGUGAGGGAUUUUGCGCAAUGGGGGAAACCCUGACGCAGCAACGCCGCGUGAGUGAAGAAGGUCUUUGGGUCGUAAAGCUCUAUCAACAGGGAAGAAGUUAUUAAUGUUUAAUAGAUGUUAGUAUUGACGGUACCUGUGAAGGAAGCACCGGCUAGCUCCGUGCCGGCAGCCGCGGUAACACGGGGGGUGCAAGCGUUAUUCGGAAUUAUUGGGCGUAAAGGGCGCGUAGGCGGUUUUAUCAGUCAGAUGUGAAAGCCCGGGGCUCAACCCCGGAAGUGCAUUUGAAACAGUAAGACUUGAGUACGGGAGAGGAGAGCGGAAUUCCUGGUGUAGAGGUGAAAUUCGUAGAUAUCAGGAGGAACACCGAUGGCGAAGGCAGCUCUCUGGACCGAUACUGACGCUGAGGCGCGAAGGCGUGGGUAGCGAACAGGAUUAGAUACCCGCGUAGUC
rnacentral:rRNA from 1 species